AAAAAUUUGAAAAUUUGCCAGUUGCAAAAGUCGUCUAAUUAUUUGAAGAGACGAAUGGUGGAUGAGUAACUAUAUAAAAAAAUGAGUGAUUAUUCAGUAAGCCAUGAAAGAUAAUUGAGCAAAUAGUAACCAAGUCUAAAUUUCAGUGAGUAUUGGUUACUACGGGUGAAAGACAGACGCAGAGAGGGAUGAAUAAGAAAUUUGGAGGGAAGCAGGCGACGGGAACUCCGUCGUUGGCAUGGUCGUGUGUCGUUGUCAUUGUGUCGCUUCUCGCUGGCGCUUCUGUUGUGCAUAAUAUAUUCAAGCCUGAUUUGGUAAAUUCUUUCUACAUGCAAUUGCAUUUACUCACAAAUUUCGCUAGCUAAUUUACACUGUUUAUGGAGUCCCCUACAUCGCUUAUACUUGAAAACAAUUAGCUUUGUUGUAAGUGAUUCAAUUUCUGUGUUUGUAUUGGGGCUUUUCUAGUCCUCUACGACCUGUUUGAUAAAAUGCUCCAUUGGGACUUGUUUGUUCGCUGGGUGGAUUCGACUAUAUUAAGAAAGAAAAAGAUACUAAAUUCUUGUCCAUUGUAGCAUCACGAUGUUUCUUUUCAUUAUCUUUUCUUUCUGAGUUGUUAGUAUUUAUUUUUCUUGUUAAAACUCUGAACAAUGGGUAUUAUUGAACUCUAGUAACUGCAUCUAGUGUAUGUGAUUUGUGCAGACAAUGCCUCCUGGAAGCACACAUGGGACUGAGCAGGAACAAGUAGAGAAGACAUGAGUUCCAAAACUUGAGCACCAUGAAACUGGCGUUAUAUUUUUUCUUUUUGAAUUACUUGUAAUGCUUGAACCCUAUUUUCCAAGCUAAAGGAAAGGGCAUUCCCUUAUUUCGCAUGACUGUACAAUUCAAUUAACUAUUAGAGCAUGACAACAAUUUUUGUUUGCAGAGCCAAUUUUGCUGAGUAUUUCACACUAUUUUCCUGCUUUCUGCUGUCUUCCUUACUGUUUCAAUGAUAUCAGUAACCUCCUUUCGAGAGAAAA
rnacentral:lncRNA from 1 species